rnacentral:tRNA from 1 species
CCGCAUAGCUCAGUUGGUAGAGCAUUGGGCUAGUAUUCCAAAGGUCGUAGGUUUGAUUCCCACUGUGG